GACGAACGCUGGCGGCGCGCUUAACACAUGCAAGUCGAACGGAAAGGCCUGCUUUCCCUUGUGGAUUGCGGGUACUCGAGUGGCGAACGGGUGAGUAACACGUGAGUGAUCUGCCCCCAACUUGGGUAUAAGCCUGGGAAACUGGGUCUAAUUCCCGAUAGGACUGCAGGGUGGUGCCUGUGGUGGAAAACGAUUUUCUAGUGGUUGGGGAUGAGCUCGCGGCCUAUCAGCUUGUUGGUGGGGUAAUGGCCUACCAAGGCGGCGACGGGUAGCCGGCCUGGGAGGGUGGACGGCCACAUGGGGACUGAGAUACGGCCCAGACUCCUACGGGAGGCAGCAGUGGGGAAUAAGGCACAAUGGGCGGAAGCCUGAUGCAGCGACGCCGCGUGGGGGAUGACGGCCUUCGGGUUGUAAACUCCUUUCGACCGCGAGGAAGCCACCUGGUUGGAAGGGUGGUGACGGUAGUGGUAGAAGAAGCACCGGCUAACUACGUG
rnacentral:rRNA from 1 species